GAUGAACGCUGGCGGCGUGCCUAAUACAUGCAAGUCGAGCGAACGGACGAGAAGCUUGCUUCUCUGAUGUUAGCGGCGGACGGGUGAGUAACACGUGGAUAACCUACCUAUAAGACUGGGAUAACUUCGGGAAACCGGAGCUAAUACCGGAUAAUAUUUUGAACCGCAUGGUUCAAAAGUGAAAGACGGUCUUGCUGUCACUUAUAGAUGGAUCCGCGCUGCAUUAGCUAGUUGGUAAGGUAACGGCUUACCAAGGCAACGAUGCAUAGCCGACCUGAGAGGGUGAUCGGCCACACUGGAACUGAGACACGGUCCAGACUCCUACGGGAGGCAGCAGUAGGGAAUCUUCCGCAACGGGCGAAAGCCUGACGGAGCAACGCCGCGUGAGUGAUGAAGGUCUUCGGAUCGUAAAACUCUGUUAUUAGGGAAGAACAUAUGUGUAAGUAACUGUGCACAUCUUGACGGUACCUAAUCAGAAAGCCACGGCUAACUACGUGCCAGCAGCCGCGGUAAUACGUAGGUGGCAAGCGUUAUCCGGAAUUAUUGGGCGUAAAGCGCGCGUAGGCGGUUUUUUAAGUCUGAUGUGAAAGCCCACGGCUCAACCGUGGAGGGUCAUUGGAAGCUGGAAAACUUGAGUGCAGAAGAGGAAAGUGGAAUUCCAUGUGUAGCGGUGAAAUGCGCAGAGAUAUGGAGGAACACCAGUGGCGAAGGCGACUUUCUGGUCUGUAACUGACGCUGAUGUGCGAAAGCGUGGGGAUCAAACAGGAUUAGAUACCCUGGUAGUCCACGCCGUAAACGAUGAGUGCUAAGUGUUAGGGGGUUUCCGCCCCUUAGUGCUGCAGCUAACGCAUUAAGCACUCCGCCUGGGGAGUACGACCGCAAGGUUGAAACUCAAAGGAAUUGACGGGGACCCGCACAAGCGGUGGAGCAUGUGGUUUAAUUCGAAGCAACGCGAAGAACCUUACCAAAUCUUGACAUCCUUUGACAACUCUAGAGAUAGAGCUUUCCCCUUCGGGGGACAAAGUGACAGGUGGUGCAUGGUUGUCGUCAGCUCGUGUCGUGAGAUAUUGGGUUAAGUCCCACAACGAGCGCAACCCUUAAGCUUAGUUGCCAUCAUUAAGUUGGGCACUCUAAGUUGACUGCCGGUGACAAACCGGAGGAAGGUGGGGAUGACGUCAAAUCAUCAUGCCCCUUAUGAUUUGGGCUACACACGUGCUACAAUGGACAAUACAAAGGGCAGCGAAACCGCGAGGUCAAGCAAAUCCCAUAAAGUUGUUCUCAGUUCGGAUUGUAGUCUGCAACUCGACUACAUGAAGCUGGAAUCGCUAGUAAUCGUAGAUCAGCAUGCUACGGUGAAUACGUUCCCGGGUCU
rnacentral:rRNA from 1 species